AUUUGGAAAGCUGCUUGAUUCAACGGUUGAAGUUGAAGCUAGACAUACGUAAUCUCUGCUGAUAUCUACAUGGUAGCAACGUUUUUGUAUGUGUAACUUAGAUAGCUAAAUACAUCAAGGACACACAUAUAGAUACUUUCACACGUUAUCCAUGAAGCCACAGUUCGAUUAUGUUGAGGCUAGGAGGAAGAAGAGUUGGGAGCGUAUCAAAAUAAACUGAAGAGUAAACCUUUCAACAUGAUGAUUUGACCCCGAAAGAGAGCCAACCGCAGCAUCCAGCAGCUCAGAUGAAGAAGGCAUGCAACCAGGCAGGACUACUGGAGAGGACUCAUGAACCGAAGGCAACAGAGUGAAGCUGGUACUUGGUCAAUCAACUGUGAUCACUCCUGCAAAAGAAACAAAAAGAGAAACUUCUCCUUCAAAGAGAAAAUAUUUUCCAAAGGUACUAUCUUCAAGACUGUGCAUAAGCAUCUAUGAUAAGACUUAAAACCUCUUACAUCUAGAUGUGCCGCUAGCG